AUUGAACGCUGGCGGCAGGCCUAACACAUGCAAGUCGAACGAGUGGCGGACGGGUGAGUAAUUUCUGGGAAACUGCCUGCUGGAGGGGGAUAACUACUGGAAACGGUAGCUAAUACCGCAUACCAUCGGAUGUGCCCAGAUGGGAUUAGCGAGUAGGUGGGGUAAAGGCUCACCUUGGCGACGAUCCCUAGCUGGUCUGAGAGGAUGACCAGCAACACUGGAACUGAGACACGGUCCAGACUCCUAAGGGAGGCAGCAGUGUGGAAUAUUGCACAAUGGGCGAAAGCCUGAUGCAGCCAUGCCGCGUGUAUGAAGAAGGCCGGCGGGUUGUAAAGUACUUGCAGCGGGGAGGCGUUACCCGCAGAAGAAGCACCGGCUAACUCCGUGCCAGCAGCCGCGGGAAUUC
rnacentral:rRNA from 1 species